rnacentral:rRNA from 1 species
GACGAACGCUGGCGGCGUGCUUAACACAUGCAAGUCGAACGGAAAGGCCCUGCUUUUGUGGGGUGCUCGAGUGGCGAACGGGUGAGUAACACGUGAGUAACCUGCCCUUGACUUUGGGAUAACUUCAGGAAACUGGGGCUAAUACCGGAUAGGAGCUCCUGCUGCAUGGUGGGGGUUGGAAAGUUUCGGCGGUUGGGGAUGGACUCGCGGCUUAUCAGCUUGUUGGUGGGGUAGUGGCUUACCAAGGCUUUGACGGGUAGCCGGCCUGAGAGGGUGACCGGCCACAUUGGGACUGAGAUACGGCCCAGACUCCUACGGGAGGCAGCAGUGGGGAAUAUUGCACAAUGGGCGGAAGCCUGAUGCAGCAACGCCGCGUGCGGGAUGACGGCCUUCGGGUUGUAAACCGCUUUCGCCUGUGACGAAGCGUGAGUGACGGUAAUGGGUAAAGAAGCACCGGCUAACUACGUGCCAGCAGCCGCGGUGAUACGUAGGGUGCGAGCGUUGUCCGGAUUUAUUGGGCGUAAAGGGCUCGUAGGUGGUUGAUCGCGUCGGAAGUGUAAUCUUGGGGCUUAACCCUGAGCGUGCUUUCGAUACGGGUUGACUUGAGGAAGGUAGGGGAGAAUGGAAUUCCUGGUGGAGCGGUGGAAUGCGCAGAUAUCAGGAGGAACACCAGUGGCGAAGGCGGUUCUCUGGGCCUUUCCUGACGCUGAGGAGCGAAAGCGUGGGGAGCGAACAGGCUUAGAUACCCUGGUAGUCCACGCUGUAAACGGUGGGUACUAGGUGUGGGGUCCAUUCCACGGGUUCCGUGCCGUAGCUAACGCUUUAAGUACCCCGCCUGGGGAGUACGGCCGCAAGGCUAAAACUCAAAGGAAUUGACGGGGCCCCGCACAAGCGGCGGAGCAUGCGGAUUAAUUCGAUGCAACGCGUAGAACCUUACCUGGGUUUGACAUGGAUCGGGAGCGCUCAGAGAUGGGUGUGCCUCUUUUGGGGUCGGUUCACAGGUGGUGCAUGGCUGUCGUCAGCUCGUGUCGUGAGAUGUUGGGUUAAGUCCCGCAACGAGCGCAACCCUUGUUCACUGUUGCCAGCACGUUAUGGUGGGGACUCAGUGGAGACCGCCGGGGUCAACUCGGAGGAAGGUGGGGAUGACGUCAAGUCAUCAUGCCCCUUAUGUCCAGGGCUUCACGCAUGCUACAAUGGCUGGUACAGAGAGUGGCGAGCCUGUGAGGGUGAGCGAAUCUCGGAAAGCCGGUCUCGGUUCGGAUUGGGGUCUGCAACUCGACCUCAUGAAGUCGGAGUCGCUAGUAAUCGCAGAUCAGCAACGCUGCGGUGAAUACGUUCCCGGGGCU